AUGCAUGCCGCCUCUUUUGAGACGUCUUUAGCCUUUCAAAACCACCGUGACUUUGUGCUAGUUGUAGAAAUUUUGCGUUUCAUCUAUGUUGUUACUAGUAUCAGCCUACUCCAAACAUCUUUCCUGAUUUUUUCCUCCCAAGAACCAUCGUCAAGCAUGUCAAAAGCAAGCGCGAGAGAGAAUCAAGUUCCAAUGAGGACUGUGGUAAUGGCGACUCUGACAGUAAUGAGGAACAAGAACAGUGGAUGGAGACAACAGCAGGUACAUGUACCAGAUCUGGCAUCACCUGAUAGAGUAAGGCGU